UCUGAAAUCAUUAUAAAUUUAUGAUUAUUUCUUGAAAAAAAUUAGGUGAAAUAAAAAAAAAUGUAAAAAAAGGAAAUUUAGGUCGGUUCCAUCUUUUCGUUCUUGAGUUUGUUUUAUGGGUUAUAUUCAUUAUCUCUUUCCAUUAUGGGUUAUAUCUUAUUGGCGUUAUUGGCUUUUCAAAAUAAAAUUAUAUAUUUAUUAUAUGUUGUUUCC
rnacentral:lncRNA from 1 species